ACAUUCAUAUCUACAUACAUACCUAUUUAGUUAUUUGUUUAGUUGAAAACCUGUAGUUCAAGAGUUAAUUAUUUAAGCACAUAGUCACCCGAGUCUGUUUAUUUCAAUUCGAUGCGCUGAUUGGCUGAGGUGAUUCGCCUGAUGUUUUUUCACCGAUCUGAUGAACCACGUGUUACCCUGUAGUAGAAAAAAUUCAAUACUGAAAUGAUACAUAAUUUAAUGGACGGUAUGUACAUGGACCUUUAAGUGAAAUUUAUUUGUUUUUAUUAUUAUUCAAUAUUUUCCUUUCUAUAUGACCAGUAUCUCCAAUUUAAGAACACACUCAGAUGGAUUUUUAGAACUUAUUUGGAUAUACACCAUUUAAUCUCUGGAUUAACACUUUUGGGAUUAUUACUAUACAUUUUGGAUUGGAUUACUUAUAGAUGACUGGAUUUACCCCAAAUGUCUUGAUGCUGCUCCAAAUUCGAUGACAAUAAAUCCUGCUGCUGCUGAUACAACACAAGUCCAUAUACAUCAAAUACGACUGCUUCUGAUGUUACUAUUUCCAUUAGUGAGAUUGAACAAACAAACCGAAAUUGGAUGUUGCUUUUUCUUACAUAGAAACAAAAAAAUGCAUAGUAAUAUAUUUAUUAAAUUUGAACGCCUCUGAGAUUUGAAAUUAGAACCUAAAGGAUUUCGAAAUUAAAUGUUCACCAGAAAAAUAAAAAAAAAUAUUCUUUUUUUCAUU